GAACAAGUACCGCGAGGUA
rnacentral:snRNA from 1 species